rnacentral:rRNA from 1 species
CCUACGGGUGGCAGCAGUGAGGACUAUUGGUCAAUGGGCGCUAGCCUGAACCAGCCAAGUAGCGUGAAGGAUGACGGCCCUAUGGGUUGUAAACUUCUUUUAUAUGGGAAUAAAGUGCAUUAUGUAUACUUCUUUGCAUGUACCUUAUGAAUAAGGAUCGGCUAACUCCGUGACAUCAGCCGCGGUAAUACGGAGGAUCCGAGCGUUAUCCGGAUUUAUUGGGUUUAAAGGGAGUGUAGGCGGGUUGUUAAGUCAGUUGUGAAAGUUUGCGGCUCAACCGUAAAAUUGCAGUUGAUACUGGCAGCCUUGAGUACAGUAGAGGUAGGCGGAAUUAGUGGUGUAGCGGGGAAAGGCUUAGAUAUCACGAAGAACUCCGAUUGCGAAGGCAGCCUGCUGGACUGUAACUGACGCUGAUGCUCGAAAGUGUGGGUAUCAAACAGGAUUAGAUACCCUUGUAGUC